rnacentral:misc_RNA from 1 species
GAUGAAGAACGCAGUGAAAUGCGAUACGUAAUGUGAAUUGCAGAAUUCAGUGAAUCAUCGAAUCUUUGAACGCAUAUUGCGCUCUCUGGUAUUCCGGAGAGCAUGCUUGUUUGAGUAUCAGUAAACACCUCAACUUCCAUAUCUUUUUUGAAAUGGGAGUUGGACUUGAGUGAUCCCAACGCUUUUCCUCACCGAAAAGUGGCGGGUUACUUGAAAUGCAGGUGCAGCUGGACUUUUCUCUGAGCUAUAAGCAUAUCUAUUUAGUCUGCCUAAAAAACAGAUUAUUACCUUUGCUGCAGCUAACAUAAAGGAGAUUAGUUCUUGUGCUGACUGAUGCAGGAUUCACAAAGACGGCUUCGGCCGACUUUGUAAACUCGAUCUCAAAUCAAGUAAGACUACCCGCUGACCUUAAGCAUAUCAAUAAGCGGAGGA